rnacentral:lncRNA from 1 species
GGAGGGGCUUCUCCUGGGGUCACCUUCUCAAGAAUCAGAGAAUCAGAGAAUCACAGUCAGAGAAUCACAGUCAUAGAAUCACAGAAUCACAGAGUCAGAGAAUCACAAAUCAGAGAAUCAGAGAAUCACAGAAUCAGAAUCACAGAAUCACAGUCACAGAAUCAGAGAAUCACAGUCAGAGAAUCACAGUCAGAGAAUCACAGUCAUAGAAUCACAGAAUCACAGUCAUAGAAUCACAGACUCACAGAAUCACAGAAUCACAGUCAUAGAAUCAGAGAAUCAGAGAAUCACAGACUCACAGAAUCACAAAAUCACAGAAUCACAGAAUCACAGUCAUAGAAUCACAGACUCACAGACUCACAGAAUCAGUCAUAGAAUCACAGAAUUAGAGAAUCAGUAUCACAGAAUCAGAGAAUCAGAGAAUCACAGAAUCAGAAUCAUAGAAUCAGAGAAUCAGAGUCAGAGAAUCAGAGAAUCAGAGAAUCACAGAAUCAGAAUCACAGUCAUAGAAUCACAGAAUCACAGAAUCACAGAAUCAGAGAAUCACAGAAUCAGAAUCACAGUCACAGAAUCACAGAAUCAGAGAAUCACAGACUCACAGAAUCACAAUCACAGAAUCAUAGAAUCACAGUCAUAGAAUCAGAAUCAUAGAAUCAGAGAAUCACAGAAUUACAGAGUCACAGAAUCACGGAAUCACAGAAUCAGAGAAUCACAGAAUCACAGUCAGAGAAUCAGAGAAUCACAGAAUCACAGUCAUAGAAUCAGAGAAUCAGAGAAUCAGUCACAGAAUCACAGAAUCAGAGAAUCAGAGAAUCACAGUCAUAGAAUCACAGACGCACAGAAUCAGAGAAUCACAGUCAUAGAAUCAGAGAAUCAGAGAAUCACAAAAUCACAAUCACAGAAUCACAGUCAUAGAAUCAGAGAAUCACAGAAUCAGAGAAUCACAGAAUCACAGACUCACAAUCACAGAAUCAGAGAAUCACAGUCACAAAAUCACAGAAUCAGAGAAUCACAGAAACAGGGAAUCACAGAAUCACAGAAUCAGAGAAUCCCAGAAUCAGCUGGGUUGGGAGGGACCUCUGAGAUCACCCAGUCCAACCCUUGAUCCAACCCCGCCGUGGUUCCCAGCCCAUGGCACUGAUGCCACAUCCAGUCUGUCCUUAAACACCUCCAGGGAUGGAGAAUCCACCCCCUCCCUGGGCAGACCAUUCCAAGGGCUGAGCACCCUCUCUGGAAA